rnacentral:rRNA from 1 species
GACGAACGCUGGCGGCGUGCUUAACACAUGCAAGUCAAACGGAAAGGCCCUGCUUUUGUGGGGUGCUCGAGUGGCGAACGGGUGAGUAACACGUGAGUAACCUGCCCUUGACUUUGGGAUAACUUCAGGAAACUGGGGCUAAUACCGGAUAGGAGCUCCGGCUGCAUGGUGGGGGUUGGAAAGUUUCGGCGGUUGGGUAUGGACUCGCCGCUUAUCAGCUUGUUGGGGGGGUAGUGGCUUACCAAGGCUUUGACGGGUAGCCGGCCUGAGAGGGUGACCGGCCAAAUUGGGACUGAGAUACCACCCAGACUAAUACGGGAGGCAGCAGUGGAGAAUAUUGCACACUGGGCGGCAGCCUGAUGAAGCAAGGCCGCGUGCGGGAUGACGGCCUUCGGGUUGUAAACCGCUUUCGCCUGUGACGAAGCGUGAGUGACGGUAAUGGGUCAAGAAGCACCGGCUAACUACGUG